rnacentral:rRNA from 1 species
UGGAUCCAGACUUUGAUUCUGGCUCAGGAUGAACGCUAGCUACAGGCUUAACACAUGCAAGUCGAGGGGAAACGACAUCGAAAGCUUGCUUUUGAUGGGCGUCGACCGGCGCACGGGUGAGUAACGCGUAUCCAACCUGCCCACCACUUGGGGAUAACCUUGCGAAAGUAAGACUAAUACCCAAUGAUAUCUCUAGAAGACAUCUGAAAGGGAUUAAAGAUUCAUCGGUGAUGGAUGGGGAUGCGUCUGAUUAGCUUGUUGGCGGGGUAACGGCCCACCAAGGCAACGAUCAGUAGGGGUUCUGAGAGGAAGGUCCCCCACAUUGGAACUGAGACACGGUCCAAACUCCUACGGGAGGCAGCAGUGAGGAAUAUUGGUCAAUGUUCUAUAGCCUGAACCAGCCAAGUAGCGUGCAGGAUGACGGCCCUAUGGGUUGUAAACUGCUUUUAUAAGGGAAUAAAGUGAGCUACGUGUAGCUCUUUGCAUGUACCUUAUGAAUAAGGACCGGCUAAUUCCGUGCCAGCAGCCGCGGUAAUACGGAAGGUCCGGGCGUUAUCCGGAUUUAUUGGGUUUAAAGGGAGCGUAGGCCGGAGAUUAAGCGUGUUGUGAAAUGUAGAUGCUCAACAUCUGCACUGCAGCGCGAACUG